AAAUUGAAGAGUUUGAUCAUGGCUCAGAUUGAACGCUGGCGGCAGGCCUAACACAUGCAAGUCGAACGGUAACAGGAAGCAGCUUGCUGCUUUGCUGACGAGUGGCGGACGGGUGAGUAAUGUCUGGGAAACUGCCUGAUGGAGGGGGAUAACUACUGGAAACGGUGGCUAAUACCGCAUAACGUCGCAAGACCAAAGAGGGGGACCUUCGGGCCUCUUGCCAUCAGAUGUGCCCAGAUGGGAUUAGCUUGUUGGUGAGGUAACGGCUCACCAAGGCGACGAUCCCUAGCUGGUCUGAGAGGAUGACCAGCCACACUGGAACUGAGACACGGUCCAGACUCCUACGGGAGGCAGCAGUGGGGAAUAUUGCACAAUGGGCGCAAGCCUGAUGCAGCCAUGCCGCGUGUAUGAAGAAGGCCUUCGGGUUGUAAAGUACUUUCAGCGGGGAGGAAGGUGUUGCGGUUAAUAACCGCAGCAAUUGACGUUACCCGCAGAAGAAGCACCGGCUAACUCCGUGCCAGCAGCCGCGGUAAUACGGAGGGUGCAAGCGUUAAUCGGAAUUACUGGGCGUAAAGCGCACGCAGGCGGUCUGUCAAGUCGGAUGUGAAAUCCCCGGGCUCAACCUGGGAACUGCAUUCGAAACUGGCAGGCUUGAGUCUUGUAGAGGGGGGUAGAAUUCCAGGUGUAGCGGUGAAAUGCGUAGAGAUCUGGAGGAAUACCGGUGGCGAAGGCGGCCCCCUGGACAAAGACUGACGCUCAGGUGCGAAAGCGUGGGGAGCAAACAGGAUUAGAUACCCUGGUAGUCCACGCCGUAAACGAUGUCUACUUGGAGGUUGUGCCCUUGAGGCGUGGCUUCCGGAGCUAACGCGUUAAGUAGACCGCCUGGGGAGUACAGCCGCAAGGUUAAAACUCAAAUGAAUUGACGGGGGCCCGCACAAGCGGUGGAGCAUGUGGUUUAAUUCGAUGCAACGCGAAGAACCUUACCUGGUCUUGACAUCCACGGAAGUUUUCAGAGAUGAGAAUGUGCCUUCGGGAAC
rnacentral:rRNA from 1 species